UAGCCAAUGAUGAAAUCAGUCAGCAAAAUAUCAUAUUUCCUUGGGGACUGAAUGGCUUAUAUCUAAGCCUUGCUGUCCUCCUGCAAUUAUGAGGCUA